rnacentral:lncRNA from 1 species
AAGGCCCCAGCAGGAGCUCUGAACAACUGCUCUAGCUGAUCUGCAGGGUGCCGCCUGCCACCCAUGGGCUGAAGGUCACUGCCGCUUCAGGUCACAGGCAUCCGGAUGUGCUCCUGACAUCUUAGGAUUGCUGGUUCCCUCAUCUCUCUCAUCUCUCCAGUGGCAAGUAGGGGGAUAUGAAAGAAGCAUUAUCAUCUCAUCCUUUCUCAACAGAGGGUAC